UUAGAGUUUGAUCAUGGCUCAGGAUGAACGCUGGCGGCAUGCCUAAGACAUGCAAGUCGACGAAGUGGUCCGUUGAAGAAUGCGUACUUGUACAAUUUUGGAUUCGGGUUGCCACUUAGGGCAGACGGGUGAGUAACACGUAGGUAAUCUACCUCAGAGACUGGGAUAACGUUUGGAAAGAACGCUAAUACCGGAUGAUUCAUAAUUAGAUAACUAGUUAUGCUAAAAGGGGCUUCGGCUCACUUUGAGAUGAGCUUGCGGUGUAUUAGUUUGUUGGUGGGGUAAUGGCCUACCAAGACACGAUGCAUAUCCGAGCUGAGAGGCUGAUCGGACACACUGGGACUGAGACACGGCCCAGAUCCUACGGGAGACAGCAGUUAGGAAUAUUCGUCAAUGGGGGAAACCCUGAACGAGCAAUGCGCGUGAGUGAUGAAGGUCCUUUGGAUUGUAAAACUCUGUUGUAAAGGAAGAACCCUUACAUAGGUAAUGAUGGUAAGCUGACGGUACUUUACCAGAAAGCCCCGGCUAACUACGUGCCACAGCCGCGGUAAUACGUAGGGGGCGAGCGUUAUCCGGAUUUAUUGGGCGUAAAGCGUGUGAGGCGGUUUAUUAAGUCUAAGAUUAAAGCCUGAGGCUUAACCUCAGUUCGUCUUAGAAACGGUAGACUUGAGUGUGGUAGAGGCAAGUGGAAUUUCUAGUGUAGCGGUUAAAUGCGUAGAAUUAGAAGGAACACCAGUGGCGAAGGCGGCUUGCUGGGCCAUUACUGACGCUGAGACACGAAGCGUGGGGAGCAAAUAGGAUUAGAUACCCUAGUAGUCCACGCCGUAAACGAUGAGUACAAGUGUCGGGAAACCGGUGCUGAAGUUAACACAUUAAGUA
rnacentral:rRNA from 1 species